rnacentral:rRNA from 1 species
GUGCCUAACACAUGCAAGUCGAGCGAGGAGAUCCUCGGGAUGAUCCUAGCGGCGGACGGGUGAGUAACACGUGGGCAACCUGCCUCAUAGAGAGGAAUAGCCUUCCGAAAGGGAGAUUAAUACCUCAUAACAUUGCAGUUUCGCAUGGAACAGCAAUUAAAGGAGCAAUCCGCUAUGAGAUGGGCCCGCGGCGCAUUAGCUAGUUGGUGAGGUAACGGCUCACCAAGGCGACGAUGCGUAGCCGACCUGAGAGGGUGAUCGGCCACAUUGGGACUGAGACACGGCCCAGACUCCUACGGGAGGCAGCAGUGGGGAAUAUUGCACAAUGGGGGAAACCCUGAUGCCAGCAACGCCGCGUGAGUGAUGACGGCCUUCGGGUUGUAAAGCUCUGUCUUCAGGGACGAUAAUGACGGUACCUGAGGAGGAAGCCACGGCUAACUACGUGCCAGCCGCCGC